UACGUAGGGUGCAAGCGUUAUCCGGAAUUAUUGGGCGUAAAGAGCUCGUAGGCGGUUUGUCGCGUCUGCUGUGAAAACUGGAGGCUCAACCUCCAGCCUGCAGUGGGUACGGGCAGACUAGAGUGCGGUAGGGGAGAUUGGAAUUCCUGGUGUAGCGGUGGAAUGCGCAGAUAUCAGGAGGAACACCGAUGCGAAGGCAGAUCUCUGGGCCGUAACUGACGCUGAGGAGCGAAAGCAUGGGGAGCGAACAGG
rnacentral:rRNA from 1 species